AGUGAAGGAGCUGGGGUUGCACAAGCAGGCAAGGAAGCCCUGUACGAACUUCUUUUUUCACUAUGUGGGGAAAAAAGUGAUUGAUUCUGACAAAUAGCCAUUUUUCACUGCCAUCGCUGGGAUGCCAAAUCCUUGUAGCAAGGACCACUACUGCUUAUCUUAUCUCAAAUACCCACCACUGCUAUAAUCCCUCUGUCACCUCUGAGUUUUACACAGUGAUUAACAUUUGCUAUUUGUCAAUUUGUUAUUUGUAUGAAAUUAAAAAUAAAUGGAGCAAUGCAAUUAUUAAGAGUCAGGAUUGGCUGCAAAGUGCUUGUAUUCUGAAUUCCUUUAGAGCUGAAGAGAAAUAAAAGCAUUUGGUACUAGGACUAAGGCUGAGCUUUAUGAGCACAAAUUCAAUGCCUAAUUCAGUGAAUUCACUGACCUUUUAAAAUUCUUCUUCAUACUUGCAUGCAUAUGGUUGGUUGAAUAUACUACUAUAGAUCAUUAAAUGUCUAAGAAUACUGUGUUUUUAAGAAGUAGGGUGCAGCACUUACAGUUUCCAAUGAAUAGGCAUACUCACUUUUCUAAGCCAAACUGAAGGUGCUUGAUUUUAUCAGAUUAUGCAGAAUUCUGUAGUGUUUGUAAUCUAUACGUUCACAGCAGAUCUCUUAUUGACUUCAGUUUCUCUCUGAAGCUUCUUGUUUAUUUUGCUGAACAGACUGAAGUUGUCUAUAAUCAGGUACUCUAUUGUGCAACUCGCAGUUUAAUACAAUAACUAUGUGUAAGAGACUAUUCUUUUAUAUCAUUGACUCAAAGUUUGCUGAGGAACAAGUCCAGGCAAGUCCUGGGCAAAGGCAGAGAAAUCUUUUGUCUUGAGGACACUGAUGGACAGGUCCUGGCUAAGGAUUGUGAAAUCCUCUAAGGAGCACAGAUGGACAAGGCCAGGGGCAUCGAGAGAGAGAUAAGCUGCUGCUAAUGGCCGGGAAGCGGUCUUUUUGUGUGGACUUAUCUCAAGGAAAAUGGCCAUCUCAGGAGGUAUGCACAGGACUCUUGCUCAAGCACCCAGGAAUGCCACGUAGGCAGCAGAAAAUGGAGGAUAAAAGAGGGUCCAAUAACCACAACGGUGGAAGCUGAUCCUUCACUACAACCACGGCAACGGGAGAGGCUUAUCUCUCACCACGACAGACUUGAGGGGUUCUCUGCCAACUGAUCUCUCACCGCAACGUGUAGACGGAUCUCUACGUGGAGACUGAUCUCUCACCACGACACGAGCUUCCUGCCUUCCGAUCCUCCUCUACGGACCGUUUGCUGACGGACUUCCCUGGGCCUGCUACCUGAGACCUGCUGCUUCCUCCCUGACCUGCAUCCUCUCGCUGCCCCAGACCGGCCUCGCUGCUCCUGCCCUUCGGCCUCGGACCGUCGGAACAUCGUGCAACGGGACUGCUGCCGGAUCCUGGUGGUGACUAUC
rnacentral:lncRNA from 7 species